AGUUUGAUCCCUGGCUCAGAUUGAACGCUGGCGGCAGGCCUAACACAUGCAAGUCGAACGGUAACAGGAAGAAGCUUGCUUCUUUGCUGACGAGUGGCGGACGGGUGAGUAAUGUCUGGGAAACUGCCUGAUGGAGGGGGAUAACUACUGGAAACGGUAGCUAAUACCGCAUAACGUCGCAAGACCAAAGAGGGGGACCUUCGGGCCUCUUGCCAUCGGAUGUGCCCAGAUGGGAUUAGCUAGUAGGUGGGGUAACGGCUCACCUAGGCGACGAUCCCUAGCUGGUCUGAGAGGAUGACCAGCCACACUGGAACUGAGACACGGUCCAGACUCCUACGGGAGGCAGCAGUGGGGAAUAUUGCACAAUGGGCGCAAGCCUGAUGCAGCCAUGCCGCGUGUAUGAAGAAGGCCUUCGGGUUGUAAAGUACUUUCAGCGGGGAGGAAGGGAGUAAAGUUAAUACCUUUGCUCAUUGACGUUACCCGCAGAAGAAGCACCGGCUAACUCCGUGCCAGCAGCCGCGGUAAUACGGAGGGUGCAAGCGUUAAUCGGAAUUACUGGGCGUAAAGCGCACGCAGGCGGUUUGUUAAGUCAGAUGUGAAAUCCCCGGGCUCAACCUGGGAACUGCAUCUGAUACUGGCAAGCUUGAGUCUCGUAGAGGGGGGUAGAAUUCCAGGUGUAGCGGUGAAAUGCGUAGAGAUCUGGAGGAAUACCGGUGGCGAAGGCGGCCCCCUGGACGAAGACUGACGCUCAGGUGCGAAAGCGUGGGGAGCAAACAGGAUUAGAUACCUGGUAGUCCACGCCGUAAACGAUGUCGACUUGGAGGUUGUGCCCUUGAGGCGUGGCUUCCGGAGCUAACGCGUUAAGUCGACCGCCUGGGGAGUACGGCCGCAAGGUUAAAACUCAAAUGAAUUGACGGGGGCCCGCACAAGCGGUGGAGCAUGUGGUUUAAUUCGAUGCAACGCGAAGAACCUUACCUGGUCUUGACAUCCACGGAAGUUUUCAGAGAUGAGAAUGUGCCUUCGGGAACCGUGAGACAGGUGCUGCAUGGCUGUCGUCAACUCGUGUUGUGAAAUGUUGGGUUAAGUCCCGCAACGAGCGCAACCCUUAUCCUUUGUUGCCAGCGGUCCGGCCGGGAACUCAAAGGAGACUGCCAGUGAUAAACUGGAGGAAGGUGGGGAUGACGUCAAGUCAUCAUGGCCCUUACGACCAGGGCUACACACGUGCUACAAUGGCGCAUACAAAGAGAAGCGACCUCGCGAGAGCAAGCGGACCUCAUAAAGUGCGUCGUAGUCCGGAUUGGAGUCUGCAACUCGACUCCAUGAAGUCGGAAUCGCUAGUAAUCGUGGAUCAGAAUGCCACGGUGAAUACGUUCCCGGGCCUUGUACACACCGCCCGUCACACCAUGGGAGUGGGUUGCAAAAGAAGUAGGUAGCUUAACCUUCGGGAGGGCGCUUACCACUUUGUGAUUCAUGACUGGGGUGAAGU
rnacentral:rRNA from 1 species